rnacentral:rRNA from 1 species
CAGUCGCCGCGGUAAAACGUAGGGUGCAAGCGUUAAUCGGAAUUACUGGGCGUAAAGCGUGCGCAGGCGGUUAUAUAAGACAGAUGUGAAAUCCCCGGGCUCAACCUGGGAACUGCAUUUGUGACUGUAUAGCUAGAGUACGGCAGAGGGGGAUGGAAUUCCGCGUGUAGCAGUGAAAUGCGUAGAUAUGCGGAGGAACACCGAUGGCGAAGGCAAUACCCUGGGCCUGUACUGACGCUCAUGCACGAAAGCGUGGGGAGCAAACAGGAUUAGAUACCCCCGUAGUCCCUGUCUCUUAUAC